rnacentral:lncRNA from 1 species
AGUGUUUCCUGAAUGAAGGCUGCUGCUUGAGAAGGUGUGUUCUGUAACCUGAGACCCUAUCGCCAGUUGGUGCGAGUACCCUAAUCCUGGAUGCUGAGCAGAUUCAUUCAGUUUCUCAAAGAGGAAAAUUAUUGUGUGGAGGAACUGAUUUCUCAGUUUAUCAGUUGUUUAACUCAACAGAAAUUGUAAAGAGCCAUGGGGAUAAUCUUAGGUGUCUGAGGAUUUGUAUCUACAGUUCUAUGUAAAGCAGAUACUCUAAUAUCCCCAAAAGCCAUGCUGACUUCUACAGCGUUCUAUGUGACUCCACCAUCAGUUGUGUUGGGCUGAAUGUUGCUGUGCAGCAGGACGUAGCUACUAUGUUGUCACUGCUCGCAGGUUUAAUGUCCUCUACAAUAAGGAAAGGUCAAAACUCCAAGCCAACUAUUCAGAUUAAAAAUAAUGCAGUAACAUCAAAUGGAAGCUGGUAAUUCACAGUACUUUGGCAAUUAAGAUGAGGGUGAUCUACCCAGAUAAACAUAUUGUACAAGUUCUUAUUUGCAAAAAUAUUUAAAUGCCAAAUAUCCCCUCUUCUUCAAAUAUUUUUUCUUUCAAACUUCUUAUCAUUCUUGCUACUCUCUCUCAUUCUACAUAUUUGGAUACAUUGCUCAAAAAUGGAUACAUUAAUCAUCACUGCUGAUUGCUCUUCCUGCGUUUAUGUAGAUAUUUCUCAGAGACUGAGAGAAUCUCAUUAACUCUCAUUCACUUUGUGACCCAUUGUCACCUCCGUCAGUUCUUUCUCUACUAGAAUGCUGCCUAAGAAGUUGUUUUCUUUAUUUUGUAUAUAUCAUUUAUUUUACUUGAAUGAAUGCAUGUCACAAC